UACGGAGGGUGCGAGCGUUGUCCGGAAUCACUGGGCGUAAAGGGCGCGUAGGCGGCCUGGUAAGUAGGGGGUGAAAUCCUGCGGCUUAACCGCAGGGCUGCCUUCUAAACUGUCAGGCUCGAGCACGGUAGAGGCAGAUGGAAUUCCCGGUGUAGCGGUGGAAUGCGUAGAGAUCGGGAAGAACAUCAGUGGCGAAGGCGGUCUGCUGGGCCGUUGCUGACGCUGAGGCGCGCAGCGUGGGGAGCAAACAGG
rnacentral:rRNA from 1 species